AGUCGUAACAAGGUUUCCGUAGGUGAACCUGCGGAAGGAUCAUUAGUGAAUUGCUCUUUGAGCGUUAAACUAUAUCCAUCUACACCUGUGAACUGUUGAUUGACUUCGGUCAAUUACUUUUACAAACAUUGUGUAAUGAACGUCAUGUUAUUAUAACAAAAAUAACUUUCAACAACGGAUCUCUUGGCUCUCGCAUCGAUGAAGAACGCAGCGAAAUGCGAUAAGUAAUGUGAAUUGCAGAAUUCAGUGAAUCAUCGAAUCUUUGAACGCAACUUGCGCUCUCUGGUAUUCCGGAGAGCAUGCCUGUUUGAGUAUCAUGAAAUCUCAACCAUUAGGGUUUCUUAAUGGCUUGGAUUUGGGCGCUGCCACUUGCCUGGCUCGCCUUAAAAGAGUUAGCGUAUUAACUUGUCGAUCUGGCGUAAUAAGUUUCGCUGGUGUAGACUUGAGAAGUGCGCUUCUAAUCGUCUUCGGACAAUUCUUGAACUCUGGUCUCAAAUCAGGUAGGACUACCCGCUGAACUUAAGCAUAUCAAUAAGCGGAGGAAAAGAAACUAACUAGGAUUCCCUUAGUAACGGCGAGUGAACCGGGAAAAGCUCAAAUUUGUAAUCUGGCUGUCUUCGAUAGUCCGAGUUGUAAUCUAUAGACGUGUUUUCCGUGCUGGACCGUAUCUAAGUCCCUUG
rnacentral:misc_RNA from 1 species